rnacentral:rRNA from 1 species
GAUGAACGCUGGCGGCGUGCCUAAUACAUGCAAGUCGAGCGAACAGACGAGGAGCUUGCUCCUCUGACGUUAGCGGCGGACGGGUGAGUAACACGUGGAUAACCUAUCUAUAAGACUGGGAUAACUUCGGGAAACCGGAGCUAAUACCGGAUAAUAUAUUGAAUCGCAUGGUUCAAUAGUGAAAGACGGUUUUGCUGUCACUUAUAGAUGGAUCCGCGCCGCAUUAGCUUGUUGGUAUGGUAACGGCUUACCAAGGCAACGAUGCGUAGCCGACCUAAGAGGGUGAUCCGCCACACUGGAACUGGGACGCCGUCCAGACUCCUACGGGAGGGAGCAGUAGCGGAUCUUACGCAACAGGCGCAAGCCUGACGGGGCAACGCCGCGUGAGUGAUGACACUCUUCGGAUCGUAACACUCUGUUAUUAGGGACGACCAAAUGUGUCCGUACCUGUGCGCGUCUUGACGGUGCCUGAUCAGAAGGCCACGGCUAACUACGUG